UACGUAGGGGGCAAGCGUUGUCCGGAAUCAUUGGGCGUAAAGAGCGUGUAGGCGGCCUGGUAAGUCCGCUGUGAAAGUCCAGGGCUCAACCCUGGAAUGCCGGUGGAAACUGUCAGGCUCGAGUCCGGAAGAGGCGAGUGGAAUUCCUGGUGUAGCGGUGAAAUGCGCAGAUAUCAGGAGGAACACCAAUGGCGAAGGCAGCUCGCUGGAACGGUACUGACGCUGAGGCGCGAAAGCGUGGGGAGCGAACAGG
rnacentral:rRNA from 1 species